CCUGAAGGAACGUUAAAGACGAUGACGUUGAUAGGCCGGGUGUGUAAGCGCAGUGAUGCGUUGAGCUAACCGGUACUAAUGAACCGUGAGGCUUAACCUU
rnacentral:rRNA from 1 species